AGCACUUCUCUGAUGUGAUUGUUUAACUUAUAGACAAAGACUUACAGGCAGGUGCAAAAAAUCCUCUUUUGCAACCCAGAACUCAUUGUUCAAUAUGAAUUUUGAAAUAUGUAAGAAGGAAUAUG